ACCCUACUGAAGAGUCCCAAACUAGGACGAAACAGCUGUCCAGUAC
rnacentral:hammerhead_ribozyme from 1 species